AAUAUUUAAAUCUCAGGUAUUAUGCUCUUUGUGUAACACCAUAAUGUUUUAAGAAGGGAUAAUUAUCGAACUAUCACCUGAACUUAUACCUCAGUUUCAAUUUGUCACCUUAAAGAAAAAAUUAAGAGAAAUGCCACAUUAAUUUUUCAAAAUCCAUGAUUUGUCAUCUGACUUUAACACCAUCUAAUUUUCCAUCCAUUUUAAGGGUACUUUAGUCUUUCCAUUUUCAAAAAAAAAAGAAAACAAGAAAAAGGCUUAAAUGUUAAAAUGGUCCUUGUGUUUUAUCUCAUAGGCCAAUUUAGUUUCUGUGUUAUCAAUUUGGGCAAUUUGGUCCUUGUGUUUGUAUAUGUUAGUCAAUGUGGUCCAUUCCCUUCAAAAUAUAAAAUAUAAAAUAUUUAAAAUUAAUUAAAAUAAAAACUGUAAUUGAUUAUAAAAUUUUAAAUUCAAUCUGAAAAUGAAAUAUUUUUUUUUUUAAAUUUCACCUUCCCCAAUUUCGAGCACACACCUCAACCACCUCCCAAAUCCAGCCACUCUCACCACCACCACUCCAACCCCAAACCAUAGCCACCCUCACCACCAUUCCAACCCCACCUAACCACAACAACUCUCUCUCUCUCUCUCUCUCUCUCUCUCUCUCUCUCUCUCUCUCUCUCUCUCUCUCUUGGCUUCCUCUCUGACAAAUCACGAAGAUCUUCAUAGCCGGUCACCGUAACCUUGAUGGCUCUACCGCCAAUUGAUCAUCCUCGCUGCAGCAAAAGUCAACAAUAUUCAGGCCAAUGGAUCGAAGAGGAGAGAGAGAUGAAGAGUAGAGUAUGAGAAAAUCUUAAACAUAAGAGAGAAGAAAAAUUGCAGCAAGAAAAGAGUAGGCAUCAAUUCAACUAAGAACC
rnacentral:lncRNA from 1 species